rnacentral:rRNA from 1 species
AGUGAACGCUGGCGGUAGGCCUAACACAUGCAGGUCGAACGGCAGCACAGUAAGAGCUUGCUCUUACGGGUGGCGAGUGGCGGACGGGUGAGGAAUACAUCGGAAUCUACUUUUUCGUGGGGGAUAACGUAGGGAAACUUACGCUAAUACCGCAUACGACCUACGGGUGAAAGCAGGGGAUCUUCGGACCUUGCGCGAUUGAAUGAGCCGAUGUCGGAUUAGCUAGUUGGCGGGGUAAAGGCCCACCAAGGCGACGAUCCGUAGCUGGUCUGAGAGGAUGAUCAGCCACACUGGAACUGAGACACGGUCCAGACUCCUACGGGAGGCAGCAGUGGGGAAUAUUGGACAAUGGGCGCAAGCCUGAUCCAGCCAUACCGCGUGGAUGAAGAAGGCCUUCGGGUUGUAAAGCCCUUUUGUUGGGAAAGAAAAGCAGCAGGUUAAUACCCCGCUGUUCUGACGGUACCCAAAGAAUAAGCACCGGCUAACUUCGUG